CCGCGUUCCCAUCCCGAACACGGUAGUUAAGCUUCUCUGCGCCAAUGGUAGUUGGGGGCUUCCCCCUGCGAGAGUAGGUCGCUGCCGGGC
rnacentral:rRNA from 1 species